UAUAAUAACAAAAUUUUUAUAUUCUUCGUCAAAAAAUAUUCUACUACUUGUUUCUAUGCACUAAGUGUCAUGCGUCGUAUUAUUUUCACAAGAAAAUUUUUUUUAUGGCCAAACAUUUUAUUUGAUAGAAAAAAUAAAAAGCCUCAGAUUUCUUUUGUAUGAAUAUCCAGGAGGUAAACGUGGAGUUUUAUUGGAGAUCAAGUUUGUCUUAUGAAUCGGAUAUUUAGUAUUAUUAAAUUUAAUGAAAUAAAACAAUAUUCAAUUCUUCUCAUUUUGCUUUUUCUUCUACCAAUUUUAUUGGUUUUUUUUUUAUUUAUAAUCUGUUGGUUUUUUUAUGGGAGCUAUAUCAAUCCUUAUAGCCAAAGAAAAUUAGAAUACAUUGAAGAACGACUGGCUCGAGAAGCAGAUGCUAUAGAGUGUGAUAUAGAAAUGAUGCUGUUUUCCAGGAGUAAUCGUAUAACACAUGAUAAAACUCAUAUACGAUAAGGAAAUCGUUCUUGUGAAGAUAUUGAAUGAAGAAGUUUUUUUUUAUUGAAUUUUACCCUCGUGCAUUUUUAUUAUUUCCAACCUAGUUCUGGUUUUGUACAAGUCUGACAAAUGAAAACUUACAUUUUUAUUUGAGUGUAUUUUAUAUUCAAAAUACUGUGUUUGUUUUAUGGGUCAAUUCGUUUUUAACAUUCCUUUCAAGUAACAUGGAGAAGCAAACUGUUUUCUAAUGUUUGAUGAAAUGGGGUAAUAUUUCUGUUAUUAACAAAUUAAAAGAAUAAAUCGUACAAGAUGCUAAGAGAUUUCCAAAUACCAACAGUUUCCAUUUCCCUUAAAUAAACAUUGGCUGGAUAAUUCUUAUUUUGGACAUACUAUUUUAAUUCAACUAAAUAUGUACGACAUACUUUGUUGAUAAAAAGUCUCUUGUACAAAAUUUUCUAGAACUCUGUUUUAUCCCCCCAACCUAUAUAAAAACGGUAUAACAGAAGGGCGACUACAAGAAACAACCGCAAUGUUGCCUAUCUUUUGAAGGGGUGCCGUUAGAAUUGUCUUAGCCAAAAACUACUUUUUAUUUCAAUCUUAUCAAUGAAGAAGAACGUCUUAGUAAAAUUAUUCAAUCACAGAAGUAACCUAAAAUAGAAACUGACGAUAAAAAUGUUGCUUGUUAUUCGUUAAACAACUGGUUGUGAACCCGGUUGUUUUACGGGUGAUUUCUUUUUUUUUGACGUGCACUUUCCAUAUAUUAAUUUUUUUUACAAGGAGUAACAUUCUUUUGAAUUAAAAUGUUUCAAGUGCUUUUACUGUAUUGAUUGCAUAAACAAGUUUUCACCCCUGGACGAAAAAUGUUUAUGCAAAUAGCAUUGAUUUAAGUGAUGGUAAUAGAUAAGCAUUUUUUUUAAUAGAGCGUUUUAUCAUUGAGAACCUUGCCAAAGACAAAGCGU